rnacentral:rRNA from 1 species
CAACAGCGUAUAUUAAAGUUUGUUUGCCGUUAAAAAGCUCGUAGUUUGAAACCUUUGGCCCUGGCUGAAUCUGUCCUCCUAAUCGAGCGCACGGAUUCGGUCGGGGCUUUUCCUUUCUGGGGAGCCCCAUGCCCUUUCACUGGGGUGUGGCGGGGAACCAGGACUUUUUACCUUUGAAAAAAUUAGAGUGUUCAAAGCAGGCCUUUUGCUCGAAUACAUUAGCAUGGAAUAAUAGAAUAGGACAUCGGUUCUAUUUUUGUUGGUUUCUAGGACCGCUGUAAUGAUUAAUAGGGACAGUCGGGGGCGUCAGUAUUCAAUUUGUCAGUGGUGAAAUUCUUGGAUUUAUUGAAGACUAACUACUGCGAAAGCAUUCGCCAAGGAUGUUUUCAUUAAUCAGUGAACGAAAGUUAGGGGAUCGAAGACGAUCAGAUACCCGUCGUAGUCUUAACCAUAAAACUAUGCCGACUAGGGAUCGGGACGGUGGUUUUUUUAUGCCCCGUUCGGCACCUUACGAGAAAUCAAAGUUUUUGGGCUCGGGGGGGGAGUAUGGUCGCAAGGCUGAAACUUAAAGGAAUUGACGGAAG